rnacentral:sRNA from 1 species
CAAUCAUAUCGCAUCUUAAAACUACCAACUUGGACAUUGAUUUUAUUUGCUCUAUCAUAUGCUUUGGUUCUGAGUCCCCGCCUUCACUCCUCUCCUUCAACUAUGUCUUCUUAUUUGCUUGAGGGCAAGCAAAGACUAAGUUUGGGAGAGUUGAUAUAUCUAUAAUUUGCAUGUUUUCAAUGUCCAUUCAUCAUCGUUUUGAGUCCAGUUUCGUAUCAUUCAUCACUGUUUUAUAUCAUUUCUCAUCAUCCUUGCAUACUUUGCAUGAUUAGGAUAGCUUUGCAUACAUAUUGCAUUUCUGAGUUUUUUUCAGGUGAUUUGGAGCUGUUUGCAAGCAAAUUGGAAGAAACGAGCCAGAACAAGAAGACAUACUCGACCCCCAGGUCGAGUGACUUUGGAGCCAUUCUUCCCACAUACUCGACCCCCAGGUCGAGUGACUUUGGAGCCAUUCUCCCCAUCCACUCGACCACCAGGUCGAGUAACCUCAGGUCAGGCCACUCGAUGACACUACUCGACCCCCUGGUCGAGUAUCAGUUCACCACACCACCUGACAACACUCGACCGUUCACUCUACCACACCACUCGACCCCACGGU